CAGAGCUACGAUACCAAACGAGUUGGUUUGAGAAUACAAUCGUUAGCGUACAUUGGCUCCUCUUAACCACCAAUUACUCUUCAAGGUGUAAGAAAACGACUCGUCCUUCAAAGUAAAUUUAUACGCGUUAGCCGGCAAGGACACUAAGAUCUUUCGUUUCGGAGCUCCUAGUCCGAUUAUCAAGUCUACUAAGCUGUCCGUGUUCAGUAUAUCGAAGAGUCCCAUUAGACGCGAGGGAUGGAAGGUAACAAAGACUUUUGACGAAAUUAUAAAGACGCUCCUUAGAACCAGCCGUCACAUUCAACUCCACGCCGUCCAC